rnacentral:rRNA from 1 species
GCAGCCACCUUUUGAAACGCGUCAAAGCGUAACUUUAACACCCAAAAUACCAUUAAUUUUUAUGAACCCCUAAUUUAUAAUGAAUGACUCCAUAUUUAUAUGGAAGACACCAUGCUAGGAUUAGUAACAAGAAUUUAUAAUUCUCCAAAAUGCAAAUAUAAACCAACAUGGAUAGACCAUUGGUAGUUACCGAACCUAAAUUUAAUGCAAUAACAUCCACAAGAAAACUCUGCAGCACUCACUCGUUAACCUAACACCAGCGCAUUACAGGAAAGAUUCAAAAAAAGAGAAGGAAUUCGGCAAAUGACGGCCCCGCCUGUUUACCAAAAACAUCGCCUCUUGACUUAUAAUAAGAGGUCCAGCCUGCCCAGUGAAUUUUAAACGGCCGCGGUAUCCUAACCGCGCGAAGGUAGCAUAAUCACUUGUUCUUUAAAUGGGGACUCGUAUCAACGGCAUCACGAGGGUUUUACUGUCUCCUCUUUUUGAUCAGUGAAAUUGAUCUUCCCGUGAAGAAGCGGGAAUAUUUUUAUAAGACGAGAAGACCCCAUGGAGCUUUAAACCAAAUAACAACUUAACCACUUAUCCCAUAAUAAAUUUAACCCCUGUUAUAAGGUUUUUGGUUGGGGUGACCGCGGAGUAAAGCACAUCCUCCACGACGGAAAGAAUAAAAUCUUUAUUUAAGAACCACACUUCUAGAAAUUAGUAUACUAACGUUUACUGACCCGACAAUCGAUCAACGGACCAAGUUACCCUGGGGAUAACAGCGCAAUCUACUUCGAGAGCUCAUAUCGACAAGUAGGCUUACGACCUCGAUGUUGGAUCAGGGUAUCCCGGUGGUGCAGCCGCUACCGAAGGUUCGUUUGUUCAACGAUUAAAACCCUACGUGAUCUG